rnacentral:miRNA from 1 species
CUGGUACAGGCCUGGGGGACA